AUUGAACGCUGGCGGCAGGCCUAACACAUGCAAGUCGAGCGGAUGAAGGGAGCUUGCUCCUGGAUUCAGCGGCGGACGGGUGAGUAAUGCCUAGGAAUCUGCCUGGUAGUGGGGGAUAACGUCCGGAAACGGGCGCUAAUACCGCAUACGUCCUGAGGGAGAAAGUGGGGGAUCUUCGGACCUCACGCUAUCAGAUGAGCCUAGGUCGGAUUAGCUAGUUGGUGGGGUAAAGGCCUACCAAGGCGACGAUCCGUAACUGGUCUGAGAGGAUGAUCAGUCACACUGGAACUGAGACACGGUCCAGACUCCUACGGGAGGCAGCGGGGGGGAAUAUUGGACAAUGGGCGAAAGCCUGAUCCAGCCAUGCCGCGGGUGUGAAGAAGGUCUUCGGAUGGUAAAGCACUUUAAGUUGGGAGGAAGGGCAGUAAGUUAAAACCUUGCUGUUUUGACGUUACCAACAGAAUAAGCACCGGCUAACUUCGU
rnacentral:rRNA from 1 species